UAAUAGUGUAUAUUAAAGUUGUUGCAGUUAAAAAGCUCGUAGUUGAAUGUUGGUGUCGAACGAGCGGUCAGCUUCGGCUGUACUGCUCUCUCGACUCCUUCCUUCUGUGGACUACGUCGCACUUUACUGUGUGGCGCUAGGACGCAGAUCGUUUACUGUGAAAAAAUUAGAGUGUUCAAAGCAGGCCGUACGCUUGAAUACAUUAGCAUGGAAUAAUGGAAUAGGACGUCGGGCCUAUUUUGUUGGUUCUAGGACCGUCGUAAUGAUUAAUAGGGACAGUUGGGGCCGUUUAUAUUCCGUAGGCAGAGGUGAAAUUCUUGGAUUUACGGAAGAUAAACUACUGCGAAAGCAUUCGGCAAGGAUGUUUUCGUUAA
rnacentral:rRNA from 1 species